rnacentral:rRNA from 1 species
GAUGAACGCUGGCGGCGUGCCUAACACAUGCAAGUCGAACGGACUUAGAUGAAACCUAGUGAUUCUAAGUUAGUGGCGGACGGGUGAGUAACGCGUGGGUAACCUGCCUCACACUGGGGGAUAACAGUUAGAAAUGACUGCUAAUACCGCAUAAGCGCACGAAACCGCAUGGUUUUGUGUGAAAAACUCCGGUGGUGUGAGAUGGACCCGCGUCUGAUUAGCUAGUUGGUGGGGUAACGGCCCACCAAGGCAACGAUCAGUAGCCGGCCUGAGAGGGUGAACGGCCACAUUGGGACUGAGACACGGCCCAA